GUACUCACUUCAGCAGCACAUAUACUAAAAUUGGAAUGAUACAGAGAUUAGCAAGGCCCCUGCUUAAGGAUGACCCACAAAUUUGUGAAGCAUUUCCUAUUUUU
ensembl:snRNA U6 U6 spliceosomal RNA